AGAAUUUUAAGUUAUUCAAACUAAAAACCUUCAAAGUUUUUUAAAAAAGUCCAAAUCUUUUAAAUUCUA
rnacentral:tRNA from 1 species